rnacentral:lncRNA from 1 species
GGCGGAGGAGGUGAGCAGCCUGAUGAAGGCCACGGUCCUGAUGCGGCAGCCCGGACGGGUGCAGGAAAUCGUGAGCGCCCUUCGCAGGGGCGGAGGAGACCGCCUGCAGGUGAUUUCUGAUUUUGACAUGACCUUGAGCAGAUUUGCUUACAAUGGACAGCGAUGCCCCUCUUCCCACACUCACCGAGCUCUUUCACCACUAUUAUCCCAUUGAGAUCGACCCACACCGGACCAUCAAAGAGAAGCUGCCUCACAUGGUGCAGUGGUGGAGCAAAGCCCACAGCCUCCUGUGCCAGCAGAGGAUACAGAAGUUCCAGAUAGCUCAGGUGGUCGGCGAGUCCACUGCGAUGCUCAGGGAGGGCUAUAAGAUGUUCUUCGACACACUCUACCAUAACAACAUUCCUCUUUUCAUCUUC